UACAGAGGGGGCAAGCGUUGUUCGGAAUUACUGGGCGUAAAGGGCGCGUAGGCGGCCUUCUAAGUCGAACGUGAAAUCCCCGGGCUCAACCCGGGAACUGCGUCUGAUACUGGACGGCUCGAGUAUGGGAGAGGGAUGUAGAAUUCCAGGUGUAGCGGUGAAAUGCGUAGAUAUCUGGAGGAAUACCGGUGGCGAAGGCGGCAUCCUGGACCAUUUACUGACGCUGAGGCGCGAAAGCUAGGGGAGCAAACGGG
rnacentral:rRNA from 1 species